CAGGUGGUGAAAUACUUUGUCAGCGACAGACUAAUAAAUGCAAAUAUGUUCUAGAGAAAAAUAUAUAAAAUGAUGAUUCAUUGUUGAUAGGUGGUCCAAAAGGAUACUACGAUUUACAAUAGUGAAGCCCACUGAAAGAUCCAGGAAGAAGGAUGUUUGUCCUACUUUCAUCCAAGCCUCAUCACAGAUCAACCAUUAGAGCAACCCAUGUACAAAUCUGAAUGAAGAUAAAAACAUUCCAGAGAGGAUAUUCUUACAAUUGACAAUUAUAUACUUGUACUCUGA